UCAAGUUAUUAAGGGUGCAGGGCGGAUGCCUUGGCACUAGGAGCCGAUGAAGGACGUGAUAAGCUGCGAUAAGCUUCGGGGAGUUGCACGUAAACUUUGAUCCGAAGAUUUCCGAAUGAGGAAACUCACUUAGAGUAAUGUCUAAGUAUCAUUAAGUGAAUACAUAGCUUAAUGAGGGGAACUCAGGGAACUGAAACAUCUAAGUACCUGAAGGAAGAGAAAGAAAUUCGAUUCCGUAAGUAGCGGCGAGCGAACGCGGAUUAGCCCAAACCAAUAAAGUUUUCUUUGUUGGGGUUGCGGACAUAUCAUAACGAAGAGGUAUCGUAAUUGAAGAGGUUUGGAAAGACCCACCACAGAAGGUAAUAGUCCUGUAUGUUAAACGAGAAGACUUCAGAUAUGAUCCAGAGUACCACGGGACACGUGAAACCCUGUGGGAAGCAGGAGGGACCACCCUCCAAGGCUAAAUACUACCUAGUGACCGAUAGCGUAUAGUACCGUGAGGGAAAGGUGAAAAGAACCCCGGGAGGGGAGUGAAAUAGAACCUGAAACCCUGCACUUACAAGCUGUGGAAGCACAUUUCUUGUGUGACCGCGUACUUUUUGUAGAACGGGCCAACGAGUUACGUUAAGUAGCAAGGUUAAGCACUUAAGGUGCGGAGCCGUAGCGAAAGCGAGUUUUAACUGAGCGUUCAGUUACUUGACGUAGACCCGAAACCGGGCGACCUACCCAUGAGCAGGAUGAAGCGAAAGUAAAAUUUCGUGGAGGUCCGAACCCACGAGCGUUGAAAAGCUCGGGGAUGACUUGUGGGUAGCGGUGAAAUUCCAAUCGAGCCCGGAGAUAGCUGGUUCUCCCCGAAAUAGCUUUAGGGCUAGCCUCAAGGUGAGAGAUACGGAGGUAGAGCACUGAAUGUCCUAGGGGGUAUUGCACCUACCGAAGACUAUCAAACUCCGAAUGCCGUCAUCUUAUACUUGGGAGUCAGACUGUGGGUGAUAAGAUUCAUAGUCGAAAGGGCAACAGCCCAGAUCGUCAGCUAAGGUCCCUAAAUGUAAGUUAAGUGGUAAAGGAUGUGGGAUUGCACAGACAACCAGGAUGUUGGCUUAGAAGCAGCCACUCAUUCAAAGAGUGCGUAAUAGCUCACUGGUCGAGUGAUCCUGCGCCGAAGAUUUCCGGGGCUAAAACUUACUACCGAAGCUACGGCAUCAUUAUGAUGGGUAGGGGAGCUUCCCAUACGGGUUGAAGCAUGACCGUAAGGACAUGUGGACAGUAUGGGAGUGAGAAUGUUGGCAUGAGUAGCGAGAUGUGGGUGAGAAUCCCACAGGCCGUAAACCCAAGGUUUCCAGGGGAAGGUUCGUCCGCCCUGGGUUAGUCGGGACCUAAGCUGAGGCCGAAAGGCGUAGGUGAUGGACAACAGGUUGAUAUUCCUGUACUACCGAUAACCAUUUGAGAGAAGGGAUGACACAGUAGGAUAAGCUAAGCACACUGUUGGUUAUGUGUGCCCAAGCAUUGAGGCAGUCAAAGUAGGCAAAUCCGCUUUGAUAAUGCUGGGAUGUGAUGGGGAGCGAAAUUUAGUAGCGAAGUAGCUGAUUUCACACUGUCAAGAAAAGUCUCUAUCGAGGUUAAAGGUACCCGUACCGCAAACCGACACAGGUGGGUGAGGAGAGUAUCCUAAGGCCAGCGAGAGAACUGUUGUUAAGGAACUCGGCAAAAUGACCCCGUAACUUAGGGAUAAGGGGUGCCACCAUCCGGUGGCCGCAGAGAAUAGGCCCAAGCGACUGUUUACCAAAAACAUAGGUUUCUGCUAAGUCGCAAGACGAUGUAUAGGAGCUGACGCCUGCCCGGUGCUGGAAGGUUAAGGGGAUCUGUUAGAGCAAUCGAAGCAGUGAACUUAAGCCCCAGUAAACGGCGGCCGUAACUAUAACGGUCCUAAGGUAGCGAAAUUCCUUGUCGGGUAAGUUCCGACCCGCACGAAAGGCGUAACGAUUUGGGCACUGUCUCAACAACAGACUCGGUGAAAUUGUAAUUCCGGUGAAGAUGCCGGAUACCUGCGACAGGACGGAAAGACCCCAUGGAGCUUUACUGUAGCUUGACAUUGGGUCUUGGUACUACAUGUACAGGAUAGGUGGGAGGCUUUGAAACCAGGACGCCAGUUUUGGCGGAGCCAUCCUUGGGAUACCACCCUUGUAGUACUGGGACUCUAACCAUAGGCCAUGAAUCUGGUCUUGGGACACUGUCAGGUGGGCAGUUUGACUGGGGCGGUCGCCUCCCAAAAGGUAACGGAGGCGCUCAAAGGUUCUCUCAGUACGGUCGGAAAUCGUACGUAGAGUGUAAAGGCAAAAGAGAGCUUGAUUGCAAGACAUACAGGUCGAGCAAGGAUGAAAAUCGGACUUAGUGAUCCGGUGGUUCUGCGUGGAAGGGCCAUCGCUCAACGGAUAAAAGCUACCCUGGGGAUAACAGGCUUAUCUCCCCCAAGAGUCCACAUCGACGGGGAGGUUUGGCACCUCGAUGUCGGCUCAUCACAUCCUGGGGCUGUAGUAGGUCCCAAGGGUUGGGCUGUUCGCCCAUUAAAGUGGUACGCGAGCUGGGUUCAGAACGUCGUGAGACAGUUCGGUCCCUAUCCGUCGCAGGCGUAGGAAAUUUGAGAAGACCUGUCCUUAGUACGAGAGGACCGGGAUGGACGUACCUCUGGUGUACCAGUUGUUCUGCCAAGGGCAUGGCUGGGUAGCUAUGUACGGAAUGGAUAAGCGCUGAAAGCAUCUAAGCGCGAAGCCAACUUCAAGAUAAGAUUUCCCACCGCAAGGGUAAGACCCCAGAAAGACUAUCUGGUUGAUAGGUCGAAGGUGUAAGUGCAGCAAUGUAUUUAGCUUAUCGAUACUAAUAGGUCGAGGACUUGACCAA
rnacentral:rRNA from 1 species